AGAGUUUGAUCCUGGCUCAGGAUGAACGCUAGCGGCAGGCCUAAUACAUGCAAGUCGAGCGGCAAGUCGAGGAGUAAUCUAAGACCUAGAGCGGCGCACGGGUGCGUAACGCGUAUGCAACCUACCUUAUACUGGGGGAUAGCCCGGAGAAAUCUGGAUUAAUACCCCAUGGCACAUAUUGAGGGCAUCUGAGAUAUGUUAAAGAUUUAUUGGUAUAAGAUGGGCAUGCGUCUGAUUAGCUAGUUGGCGGUGUAACGGACCACCAAGGCGACGAUCAGUAGGGGUUCUGAGAGGAAGGUCCCCCACACUGGCACUGAGAUACGGGCCAGACUCCUACGGGAGGCAGCAGUAGGGAAUAUUGGGCAAUGGUCGGAAGACUGACCCAGCCAUGCCGCGUGCAGGAAGAAGGCCCUCUGGGUUGUAAACUGCUUUUAUCUGGGAAGAAAAAGGCCAUGCGUGGCAAAUUGCCGGUACCAGAUGAAUAAGCACCGGCUAACUCCGUGCCAGCAGCCGCGGUGAUACGGAGGGUGCAAGCGUUGUCCGGAUUUAUUGGGUUUAAAGGGUGCGUAGGCGGCUGAUUAAGUCAGCGGUGAAAGACUUCGGCUUAACCGGAGCAGUGCCGUUGAUACUGAUUGGCUUGAGUGUUGGAGGGGUACAUGGAAUUGAUGGUGUAGCGGUGAAAUGCAUAGAUACCAUCAGGAACACCGAUAGCGAAGGCAUUGUACUGGCCAACAACUGACGCUGAGGCACGAAAGUGUGGGGAUCGAACAGGAUUAGAUACCCUGGUAGUCCACACUGUA
rnacentral:rRNA from 1 species